UACAGAGGGUGCGAGCGUUGUUCGGAAUUAUUGGGCGUAAAGGGCGCAUAGGCGGUGCGGUAAGUCACCUGUGAAAUCUCCUGGCUCAACUGGGAGCUUGCAGGCGAAACUGCCGUGCUGGAGUGUGGGAGAGGUGCGUGGAAUUCCUGGUGUAGCGGUGAAAUGCGUAGAUAUCAGGAGGAACACCUGUGGCGAAAGCGGCGCACCGGACCACAACUGACGCUGAGGCGCGAAAGCUAGGGGAGCAAACAGG
rnacentral:rRNA from 1 species